UACGGGGGGAGCAAGCGUUGUUCGGAUUUACUGGGCGUAAAGGGCGCGUAGGCGGCCACCGCAAGUCGACUGUGAAAUCUCCGGGCUUAACCCGGAAAGGUCAAUCGAUACUGCGGGGCUAGAGUGCAGAAGGGGCAACUGGAAUUCUCGGUGUAGCGGUGAAAUGCGUAGAUAUCGAGAGGAACACCUGCGGCGAAGGCGGGUUGCUGGGCUGACACUGACGCUGAAGCGCGAAAGCUAGGGGAGCGAACAGG
rnacentral:rRNA from 1 species